UCCUCUAGGGUUGUUAUGAUUUCUUCAAUUUAAUUUGGUGUUGAUUUCGAAAAAUGGGUUUGGUUGAAGUGGUUUGAUUUGUAAAGUUUUGUGGAUUUAGUGUCCUAAAUGAGUUUGAUUUUACUGGUUUCAUAUAUUUUCCCCUCUUUUUCCUUUCUCUCUCAUUAGUUUUAAAGCCCUAAUCCAUUAAUUGUAUAUGUACAUUUGACCCUUCAAUUUCAAUCAUUGCAUGCUUUUUAUAUCUAGUUUUGCUAAAGCAUGUCCUGUUUUUAUUUGCAAUCAGUAACUGUAAUUCAUCUAAAAUACAUUCGUAAAAUGUUGUGCCUUACCCAAUUGAGUUGGGGUUGCUCUCUCCAAACUUCUGUUAUAGCUAAUUUAUGGGAUUGUGGGGGUUUUUCCCCCCUGCAGGUGCAUUCUCAUUGAUAUUUCCAAGACUGGAGGAAGUCCUAAAAGAAAAAUUUUGUCGAGAGAAGGCACCUGUGGAUGGUUUCUACUCUAAUACUACAAGAUAACAAUGUCACAUUGCUGAAAUAGCAGUAAAAAGUGUCAGGUCAAUAGUUGCUUUAAAUCUUAAUAACUAUGCGAGUGGAAGAAAUCCAUGGGGUAAUCUGAAGCCCGAGUAUUUGGAGAAGAGAGGCUUUGUUGGAGCUCAUGUGAAUGCUGGUCUUCUAGAAAUUUUUGGCCUAAAACAAGGAUGGCUUGCUUCCUUUGUUUUGUCUGACCUUAUUUCUGCUAAACACAUGCCCAGGAACAAUCACUAGCUAAUGUGAAUAAUGUGAUGCAAAUGAAGACAAAACAUCGAUGUGGAUCAAAAUCAAUCCCGAUCAGGAUUCGAGAUUAGAUAUGGACAUGUUCGGUAAUCUGGAGAGCAGAAGCUGGCUCAUUUUGUGUUUUUGUUCAUUUUACCUUACAUGUAUUUUGGUUGCAUUGUAAAUUUUAUAUUUUUGUCGGUAUUACAGGACAUGUUUGGUCAUCUGCACUUGAUAUUAUAUUUUUGUGGAUAUUAGUAGUCAUGUUUUUUGUGGAUA